rnacentral:sRNA from 1 species
UGGAACAAGACUACAGCGUCGAAGAUCCCCAGCGCUGCGGGCUCGGAGAGCAGUCCUAACGGCGCCUCGUACGCUAGUGCCCUCCCUUUUCAGUCCGCGUCCCUCCCUGGGCCGGGCUGGCACGCUUGCCUUCCCCGUCCCUCAUGGCGCUGCUCCGACGCCCGACGGUGUCCAGUAAUUUGGAGAAUAUUGACACAGGAGUUAAUUCUAAAGUUAAGAGUCAUGUGACUAUUAGGCGAACUGUUUUAGAAGAAAUUGGAAAUAGAGUUACAACCAGAGCAGCACAAGUAGCUAAGGUAACAAUGAUGAAGACUGAAUGUGAAUAGAGGCCGAUUCUGUGUAGUGCUGAGUCCCACAACGCUGGCUGUCUUGCCCUAUUCAUGUUUCUUUUGCCUUAUAGAAAGCUCAGAACACCAAAGUUCCAGUUCAACCCACCAAAACAACAAAUGUCAACAAACAACUGAAACCUACUGCUUCUGUCAAACCAGUACAGAUGGAAAUGUUGGCUCCAAAGGGUCCUUCUCCCACACCUGAGGAUAUCUCCAUGAAGGAAGAGAAUCUCUGCCAAGCUUUUUCUGAUGCCUUGCUCUGCAAAAUCGAGGACAUUGAUAACGAAGAUUGGGAGAACCCUCAGCUCUGCAGUGACUACGUUAAGGAUAUCUAUCAGUAUCUCAGGCAGCUGGAG